CCUACGGGAGGCAGCAGUGAGGAAUAUUGGUCAAUGGACGAGAGUCUGAACCAGCCAAGUAGCGUGAAGGAUGACUGCCCUAUGGGUUGUAAACUUCUUUUAUAUGGGAGUAAAAUGUUCCACGUGUGGGAUUUUGUAUGUACCAUAUGAAUAAGGAUCGGCUAACUCCGUGCCAGCAGCCGCGGUAAUACGGAGGAUCCGAGCGUUAUCCGGAUUUAUUGGGUUUAAAGGGAGCGUAGGUGGAUAGUUAAGUCAGUUGUGAAAGUUUGCGGCUCAACCGUAAAAUUGCAGUUGAAACUGGCAGUCUUGAGUGCAGUAGAGGUGGGCGGAAUUCGUGGUGUAGCGGUGAAAUGCUUAGAUAUCACGAAGAACUCCGAUUGCGAAGGCAGUUCACUGGACUGCAACUGACACUGAGGCUCGAAAGUGUGGGUAUCAAACAGGAUUAGAUACCCGAGUAGUC
rnacentral:rRNA from 1 species